CACAAGCACAAAUCAAAACUAAUUUCAUUCAAAUAUAUUCACCUUAUCUCAACAAUGAAUGUAUGCAAGUAUGUAAAGAGAAAAUACUAAGACUCCUACUUAGACUCUUAACAGACUCCUAUUUCUCUUACGUAUCCUAUCUUUAAACAAAUAUGAUAAAAUAAAAUACAUAUUAAUAAACUAAAUUACUACCAGCCCUUGUUGGACCAAAAACUUGGGUUGGACCGGUUCUUCUUAGCCCUAGCCUUACACAAUCGGUUAUGCUGGUCCAACCAGGUAAGUGCAACUGUAUCUGCAUUAACUUUCCUCAUCUGAAAAGAACUCAAUUCCGUCGAGUUUGGAUGAGGUCCAAGAAUGCCGUCUGAGUCGAUGCGCUUGAGGAGAAAAGUACCAGCUGUCCUCUUGAGUUUGAGAGGGGGAAGAUCCUUUGCUGGAAGGAACUUCAUCUCAAGGCCACCAUGCUGAAAAGAGUAUGUCUUCUCAUAUCCACAGUGCUUGGCUUUCUUGUUGAACAACCAUGGGCGCCCCAAAAGAAUGUGACAGACUUUCAGAGGGAGAACAUCACAGUGAAAUUGAUCAAUCAGUCCACCAAUGGAAUACAUGAGCAAACACCUUUCAUUAAUUUUCAGGUUAUUGUUGUUCACCCACCCAACCUUGUAGGGUUCGGAUGAGGCUCAGUUUUCAAACCCAACUUGCGAACAUCUUCAGCAACAUUGGUACAACUGUCGGGGUCAAUCACCAUAUUACACAAGCUGUCAUUGCAUCCACCCUGGUCUAAAAGAUACUGUGACGGCGCUAAUCGUCAUCGGGAAUCUUCUGUGUAGUCAAAAGAGGACGAAUCACAUAGAACAAUUGAGGCUCACCAUCACUGUAACCAUCAUUAAUCUCAUUAGGCUCACGAUCACAUUCAGCCUCUAGAUUUACUGUUAUUGUUUUCGAUUGCUUUUCUGGUACAUAGGGUAUAAAAUUAUCUUUGUCGAUGUAUGCUAACAACCUGUUAGGACAUUGAUUAGCUCGAUGCCCGUACCCCUUGCAUUGAAAACAUUGAAUAACCUCCUUUGGAAAUGCUGAAUUCCUGUUAUAACCACGCUAAGGUGAGGAGUAUGGAUGAUUAGGCCAUGAAGAUGACAUGUUUGAAUCGCGUCGAGGUGGAGAAUACGCCCGGCUGGGUCAUAAAGAUGCCAUAGAUGAAGCAUUAGCCUGUGGUCUGUUGAUUGACUUUUCCUGUGGAGAUGACUGCGGCUGAAUAGAACUAGGACCUUUAGGAAAAAAAUCUGUAAAUGGCCUCCGAUUUUGUAGGCAUUUCAGACUUUUCUGAACCUGAUAUAUUACUCGUACGGCUUCUUCCAUUGUAGGCAGUCCGCUAGAUGCAAGGGCAACACUAAGUUGAGGGUGCAACCCAUGACGGAAUUGUGCUACCAAUACUUCAUCCCACCCAAAUCAGAACGAGUGGCCAAAUAAUAAAAUCUAGCAACAUACUCUUCAACGGUCAAAUUCUCCUGUUUCAGCUGUGCAAUCCUGAGAUGCAUGCGUUGCUUGUAAUUAGAAGGCAAGAAUCUCUGGUUCAUGACUUCAUGCAUUUCAGCCCAAGUAGUGACUAAACCAAUGCCUCGGGCUUGGUUUGGUUAUGUUGCUAUUGCUUGAUCCACCAGACUCGGGCCGUGUCUUUCAAUUUGGCAUCUGCAAAUAGGAUCUUUUAGGCCUCAGUCAACCCGUACCAUCUGAAGAGCGUCUCAAAACUGUGAAUUCAGUUAAGGUACAAUUUUGGAUUGUUGUCUUUAUAAAAAUCAAGGACAUCCAAUUUUGCUGCUCUUUCUACUCCAUCAUAUCUACCAGUUCCAUAUGGUGGUGGAGGCGAUGGUGGCGGUGUAUGGUGAGGUGGUGGUAGUGGUAGUGACAAAUCCUGUGGAGUGGUGUUGGAAGAAUCCCCAGAUUGAAUGAGGUUUUUUCCUCUAUCUGUUGCCACCAAAUGAUCAAUAGAAGCUUGCAUGGAUCCCAUAGAAAUUGGCAUGGAUCCCAUAGUAACUUGCAUGGAUUCCAUCAUUGUCUUAAGGGAAAGGACAACGGUAAUGAGAGCUUUAAUUUUUGCAUCAGUUUCUCCCUUAUAGGAGUUCAGCUGUUGAACAACUUCACUAUUGGCUACAUUAGUGAUGAUUAACAGAAUAACACUCAAAGAAUAAUGGCAAUAUAGUAAUUAGAUGGAAACUUAAAAGGAGAAUGGCAGAAUGGUAAUUAACUCUUUUUUUUUAUUAUUAUUAUUUUUUUAAAGGAAGGUAGAAUUGUAAAUAUGGGGAAUGCUAUUCUAAACACUAAUGAAGGUCAUGUAUGGGUAGGGGCAAACUUGGAAGUUAAAGAAGAAAUUAGGGUAGAAAAGGAUAAAGGAGGAAGGGAGGGGUAUUAUAGUAAAUAAUAAGAUAAAGAAAAAGAGACAAAAGGGGGAUCGUGGGGUGGAUGGAGUUUACCGACAAAGGUGACUUUGUUCUCCCUUUUUGGAGACAAAAACCAGAGAGGGUGGUUCUGCUAAGCUGCUCAGUUCAGCGAAGGGAGGCAAUGCCAAGAUUUGUCCGACUGGCAGUGGUGUUUCGACCCAGCAGCGGAGUUGUGAUAAACUAGGUAUGUCUCCGCCUUUCUCUCUUUUCUCAUUGUCUUCCUCUUCUGUUUCUGUCUUCUCGUUUCUUUUUUUUCGCUGUUGGAACCCUGAAGAGGGGUUCCACUGAGAACAGGUCAAGAGGAAAAGGAGGGCUCUUCUCGUUUUCUUUCCUUCUUCUUCCUUUGUUUCUCUGGCAAAACCCUAAAGAGGCGGCUCCGUUCUCUGUUUUGAACAAAAAAAAUUUUUUUUUGAGUUUUUUUUUUUUCUUUCUAUUCUCAGUCUCGGUAGAACCAAAACAGAUAAUGGGGAAGGGAAGAAAAAGAUGGAAGGAAGAAGGGGAAUGGUGAUCCUUAGGCUCUGAUACCACUGUUACGGUCAUGGAAGAACUCAACCCCAUAAACCGGCUUACAAGGUGAGGGGACCCAAGACUAUAUCAACCCAUAUCAAUUCCCAUAGGAGACCGAUGUGGGAUCAACUCCCAUAAGCUGAUAUGGGAUCGUAACAUAUCACCACGCUUCCAAACCCAAUGUCCACGGCGGCCAACUCCUGAUCAGGUACCCCUUUCUGAGCGCCUUUCACUCUGCUCCAAGGUUUUUGCCUGACGGCAAGUAGCCCUUUCCUAGUGGUUCUCACUCUGGCACCAGGUCGCCCCUUCCGCGUGCGGGUUGGGCCGAGGAUCGGCUGCUCUGAUACCAAAUUGAUGGAGGGCCUUAGGGAAGAAAGGAAAAUCAGAAUAGAAGAGGGGGGGACGCACAAACUCACAAGCACAAAUCAAACAAUUUCGUUCAAAUGAAUUCACCUUAUCUCAACAAUGAGUGUAUGCAAGUAUAUAAAGAGAGAAUACUAAGACGCCUACUUCUCUUACGUAUCCUAUCCCAAAACAAACAUGAUAAAAUAAAAGACAUAUUGGACCAAAAACCUGGGCUACACCGGUUCUUCUUGGCCCUAGGCUUCCACAGCUGGUCAUGCUGAUCCAACCAGGUAAGCGCAACUAUAUCUGCAUCAUAGGGUAUCCUACACCUGCUCUCAGAUAUUUUUCUAUUCAUUUUUUCUGUUCAAAAUUAUAAUAAAAGAACCAUGUGAGGAGGCAUAGGCUACUCUGCUUGCAUGGGGUGAUUUUUCCCAUAUAUAUGGCCAAUGGUUUUCCACGCCACUAGCGUGGAAGGAAUCUCCAUGCCGCAGUGCCACACCAAUCACGGUGCCGGAGACAGUUUUGUUCAGUAGGGCCCACAAGGUGUUUGAGGGGGGGUGUGUGCAAGUGCGGGAUCCACAACUUAUUGUGUGAGAGGUACGUACACAACUAUGGACUUUUAAUUCUCUUGCUAAUCUAUUUUUCCCAUGGGGAAAAGAGCGUUCCCUGGUUGCGCAGCCCCUUCGCCAGUGUGGGGCCAACAAGGGGGGUGCACAUGGGCAUAAACAGAAGUGGGUUUUUUGGGUUUCACAGGGGUAGAGGUGUCAUUUUUCCGCCCUCUGUGUUUGGGUGUAGGGGCUGCACGAUCAGGGAGCAUUCAUUUCCCCUUUUCCCAUACCUUCCACUUCUAUGCAAGAAGUCCAGAGCCACUCAUCAGCCUUCAGCCUCCCCCUUCUUUUCCUCAUUUAUUUGAGAUUUGUUCACGGAUGUGUUGCUGUAUUAAUGAUGCUGGGCAGCCUAGACGGGUAGAACAUUUUGGCAUUGAAAAGAUCCUCCUUUGUGUUUUUGUUUUUUGUUUUUUGUUUAUGUUUAUGUUUAUGUUUUUUUUUUGUUUUUGUUUUGUUUUGUUUUGUUUCAUUUUUUGGGUUGGGGGUGAACUUGGGCCAUUAUUGUAGGAGGACCUGAGUUGUUUUUUUUUUUUAACAGCAGUAUACUGUUGAAUUUUAUGCCCUUUUCAAUCUCUUCUACACCCCCCCCACCCCGAACUUUUUUUUUUGGUUGCAAAAAUGUCCCUUUCUAGAUGGCAAAUAUAUAAUUUUCUGGCAUUGUGUUCUCUCUUACAAACUUAUCAAUAAUCCUCAGAAACGGCGAGAGGAGAUGGAGAGGCUUGAAAAGGAGAAACAGGCAGAGAUACGGAGCUACAAGGGCCUGAUGAUCCAAGAGAAGAUGACCUCUAACAAACAGGUUGCGUCGGGAAACAAGUCACUGCAAGAACUGGAAGAGGAUUUCAUGUAAUUCCAGCAAAUAGAAGCAAAUCCUUCAUAACUAAGAAGCCUUGACAUGGCAAACUUGAUUGCUUAGUUCCCCAAGGAGGGAAUCUGCCUGAAAAGAGAAAUCUGUUGAUUUGCCUAUUUCUGAAUUAUGGGGAUGAUUGAUGAACAUGAUAUAAGUUUUGUUCCAUUGAUUUUAAGCAAGGGCCUGAUUGAUACUUGGUUCUGCGAGCCAUUUCUUGCAAGAUACCAUUAAUUUCAAUAAUUUUUUUUCUC